UACGGAGGAUCCAAGCGUUAUCCGGAAUCAUUGGGUUUAAAGGGUCCGUAGGCGGCCUUAUAAGUCAGUGGUGAAAUCUCCUAGCUCAACUAGGAAACUGCCAUUGAAACUGUAGGGCUUGAAUUAUUAGGAAGUAACUAGAAUAUGUAGUGUAGCGGUGAAAUGCUUAGAUAUUACAUGGAAUACCAAUUGCGAAGGCA
rnacentral:rRNA from 1 species